GAUGAACGCUGGCGGCGUGCCUAAUACAUGCAAGUCGAGCGAACAGACGAGGAGCUUGCUCCUCUGACGUUAGCGGCGGACGGGUGAGUAACACGUGGAUAACCUACCUAUAAGACUGGGAUAACUUCGGGAAACCGGAGCUAAUACCGGAUAAUAUAUUGAACCGCAUGGUUCAAUAGUGAAAGACGGUUUUGCUGUCACUUAUAGAUGGAUCCGCGCCGCAUUAGCUAGUUGGUAAGGUAACGGCUUACCAAGGCAACGAUGCGUAGCCGACCUGAGAGGGUGAUCGGCCACACUGGAACUGAGACACGGUCCAGACUCCUACGGGAGGCAGCAGUAGGGAAUCUUCCGCAAUGGGCGAAAGCCUGACGGAGCAACGCCGCGUGAGUGAUGAAGGUCUUCGGAUCGUAAAACGCUGUUAUUAGGGAAGAACAAAUGUGUAAGUAACGAUGCACGUCUUGACGGUACCUAAGCAGAAAGCCACGGCUAACUACGU
rnacentral:rRNA from 1 species